CAGUACCCGUAGGAGAAGAAAAUAAUAAUGAUUCUGCUAGUAGUGGCGAACGAACGUGGAUGAGGCUAAACCGUGUGCAUGUGAUACCUGGUAGGGGUUGUGUGUGCGGUGUUGUGGGCCCUGAUGAGGAUGGCUACUGACGUCCUGCCCGCGCAUUGUUGUUAGGUGAAGUGGUGUGGAAACGCCUGCCGUAGAAGGUGAUAGUCCUGUAGCUGAAGAUGAUGGUGUGUGGGUUGUUGGGUUGCCCGAGUAGCAGCGGGCUCGUGGAAUCUGCUGUGAAUCUGCCGGGACCACCCGGUAAGCCUAAAUACUCAGUGUGACCGAUAGUGGAUAGUACCGUGAGGGAAUGGUGAAAAGUACCCCGGGAGGGGAGUGAAAUAGUUCCUGAAACCAUGUGCUUACAAUCCGUCAGAGCACUUUUUGUGUGUGAUGGCGUGCCUUUUGAAGAAUGAGCCUGCGAGUCAGCGGCAUGUCGCGAGGUUAACCCGUGUGGGGUAGCCGUAGGGAAACCGAAUCCUAAUGGGGUGUUUAGUGGCAUGUCCUGGACCCGAAGCGGGGUGAUCUACCCAUGGCCAGUGUGAAGCAGCAGUAAGGUGCUGUGGAGGCGCGAACCCACGUAGGUUGAAAACUGCGGGGAUGAGCUGUGGGUAGGGGUGAAAGGCCAAUCAAACUCCGUGAUAGCUGGUUCUCCCCGAAAUGCAUUUAGGUGCAGCGUCGCAUUAGCUUGGUGGAGGUAGAGCUACUGGUUGGUUGAGCGGGACUACAAUCUUAGCAAUG
rnacentral:rRNA from 1 species